CCCCCGGCUCGGAUCCCGUGGGGGGAAUCCGCACCGGGAAACAGGGAAGCGCCCCGACUGCCGAC
rnacentral:ncRNA from 1 species